GAUGAACGCUGGCGGCGUGCCUAAUACAUGCAAGUCGAACGAAGUCUUCGGACUUAGUGGCGAACGGGUGAGUAACACGUUGGUACCUACCCCGAAGUGGGGAAUAACUGCCCGAAAGGGUGGCUAAUACCGCAUAAUACCGCAAGGUUAAAGCAGUAAUGCGCUUCGGGGGGGGCCUGCGUCCCAUUAGCUAGUUGGUAGGGUAAUGGCCUACCAAGGCGACGAUGGGUAGCUGGAUCGAGAGGUUGCCCAGCCACACUGGGACUGAGAUACGGCCCAGACUCCUACGGGAGGCAGCAGUAAGGAAUCUUCCACCAUGGACGAAAGUCGGAUGGGGCAACGCCGCGUGCAGGAUGACGGCCUUCGGGUUGUAAACUGCUUUUAUACGGGAAGAUUAUGACGGUACCGUAUGAAUAAGGACCGGCUAACUACGUGCCAGCAGCCGCCGCGG
rnacentral:rRNA from 1 species